CAGAGGACCACCUUCAAUUGCAGAAAGAGGGGGUUUUAGGGCCUUGCUGUCUUGCCUCCUGGAGGGACGGGACCCCCCCCCCCCACCUCCACCUGCAGCCUCUGCCUAGCACCCUGUGGUUUCUGUCCCGGCCCAGCUUUAGGGCUGCAGCAUCCUUGUCUGGUUCUGUGGGCUGGUUUCUGGAAAACUCUGCCCCCGGGGCCACAGCAGAAUUGGGGCCUCCAUUUGAACUGUGCAUGAAGGGGGGGUCCGACCUCAGGUACGGGACUGAGGCGAAGAUGUAACCGGCCGCAUAUCAAACCACCUGUCCAGAGCCAAGGCUGGAAGACAGACAGAACACCAGGCCUCUAAAAAUGGUGCCCGAGACCCUUCAGGCUGUGGGCGGGAACCACAUGUGCUGGAGAAGCAAGAGCCGUCUGCGUUUUUGGUCACGUGUCCGACCCCCUCCAGCAGGGGGCAAAGCCUGAGGCCCUCCUGCUUUGCUCCAAAGCCACCAGCGCCGACUCCCACCCAGAGCCAAGGAGGAGGUGCCCGAAGGGGAAACAGCGAUGGGCAUGGGAAGGCCGAGGCCGGGAGCAGCUGGGGCGCUCUCGGACCUGGGCAGUUUACAGCCCACGAGACGCAGCUGCUUUUACCACAGGGGGACAAAAGUGACCGUGGCCGUGUUGAGGGAGCGCCUGCUGCGGCGGCUGAGUCAGGAGCCUACUGCUCGGUAAAGGCCCGGGACAGGGUGGCCUGAACACCGGGCCUGAGGCCACGGCGGCCCAGCCGGUAGGUUCUGGGCCAAAAAGGAACCAAACUGAGAGGGAAAUACUCGAGCUCACUAAGCCGAUUUAAAAACCGACAAGAAGGUGUAAAGAGAAGUGAGGCGGGCCACCGUGUGAUAGUGUGGCUGGACCUCGAAGGCGUCACGGCGAGUAAAGUGAGCCAGCACAAGGACAGACACCGUACGGUCUCUACGUGAAAUGCUGAGAAUCAGCAAAUGCACAGAGAGAGAGCAGAGGGGUGGCUGGCAGGGAUGGGGUCACUGCUCACUGAGCGGGAGUUCCGGUUUGGGACGACGAGAAGAGUCUGGGAACGGACGGUGGUGAUGGUUCCACAGUCUUGUCAACGGACUUAAUGCCAAAGAAUGGUCCACUCAAAAUGGUGAAAAUGACUCUUACGUUCUGUAUAUUUUACCACCCUGGAAAACAAAAAAACUCAAGAGCUGAUGCCACUUGAGCUCUUCUGAAUAAACUCAGAAUUCUAACCAUCCCUCUCUUGCACAUUUCCCAGGCCCUGGCUAGUCCCAGUGAGGGCCCAGGAAGGAGCGAGCGCGGUCGGAUCACGAAGGAAACGUUCCCCACACACCUCUGUAACUGCGAGAUCUCCUGACUGAUGUCAUCAAGUUCUUUCACACCAGUAAACUCUCCGGACACAAGAGAAGUGGAACUUUCCUAGAAUACAAUGCAAAUAUGAAAUUAUUCAUCAUCAAACUGGCAAAACCACAGAGCAGUGAUUAGAGGGUCUCAAAGUCCGGGAAUGAAACAAUCUUAUCCUUAGCUCACAGGAUGAGGUAGCAAACUGCCGACCGCCAGCCCGGGGAGCACUGGGGCCCGGCCCCCUCCUGGCCUCACCCGGGAUGAGCCUGGGGAGCACUGGGGCCCGGCCUGGGGAGCACUGGGGUCCAGCCCCCUCCCGGCCUCACCCGGGAUGAGCCCAGGGAGCACUGUGGCCUGCCCUGGGGAGCACUGGGGUCCCGGCCCCCUCCCCGGGUGGUCCUGCCCGGGCUGCCUCGGCUGGAGGACCGUGGGGCUGCGCGUGGGGCUCCCGUGCGGCCGCAGUGCCACCCCGUGGUGGUUGAGGGUGGCACCCCGUGGCAACUCACCGGGCCGGGUGUGCCGCGCUCCGAGGGCGGGACCAUGUCGGGCGAGAGGAGCUGGGGGGGGUCGGCGCCGUGGCUGACCUUCUGCUGAAUGAAAUACAUAGCUAACGCGAACUGGUCUUUGCUUAACUUCCCCAUUUGCCUCGUAUCUGCCAGAGCCCUGGAGAGACGAGGGACGUCAGUUACACACCACAGACGACUCCACCUGCCAGUGAGGAUUGGGGCCCGGCACCCAGCACGCGGGGGACAGGGUGGGCUGCAGCUCCUUCUCUACGGAGCAUCUAAACCACGGGCCUCAGGAACCCCAGGCCGGCGAGCAGCCCUCCUGGGUGAAGGGGCCCGUGGGGCACCCCCCAGAGCCCCAGGAGAGCAUCCCAGCUGAGGGGGUGUCCAGGGGGGCUGCCGGAGCCAGAGGGAGGGAUCCUCGCCCAGGAUGGAGCCCCACAGAAGCCCCUGCCCACGCCUGGGAGCGCUGGUGGGUGACUGGGGCACAGCUGCUUCCUUCCCCCCCGAGGCUGCGUGCGCCACCCCCAGACAGGGCCCCCCACAACCCCGGGAGGUGGAAGUUGAAGCAGCACAGCCACGGCCCUGCUGUGGGCCCCGUUCUGGCGGUUUCCUACAGUGCAGACGGCGGCCUUCUGGUUGUGGGGAUGUGGGGGGCUGUGCUGACACUACACGGAGCGGCUGGCAGCACAACCCGCCAAGGGGCAGAGCACAGCGACCCCGAGAGCCGGCAGGCGCUCCCCGACCAGCCUGGUGGAGGAGGAGGCCCUCUGGGGAAGGGGAGCUCAACCCGACAGCACUGCGAUCGCCAUGCCUGGGACACAGGUGUUCUCUCCACGCAGCCUGUCACUUCCCACCAUGUCUACAGCUGCCGCAAAAGCCACACAACUUGUUUCUAAUGCAACAACAGAGGUGGGGGUGUUUACACAGACCGAGACCCGACGUGGCCAGUGCGCGGAGAGCGGAACGUGGCGGAAUGCAGCGAGCCCACUGAGUUUUGUGGAUAAAGGCUGUUUGAAGGGUGAAGAGGGCGUCCUCGCGAUGAGGGGCUGCCAGGGACCGUCCCGACUGCCGUAUGGGGCCUGGCUCCCCUGCUGAGUGUGCGCCAUGCUGGUGAGUGACCCCUUUGGGAGGCACAGCCAGGAAGGACACCAAGUGUCCCCGGCAUGUGGCUUUCACCACCUACUCGGGGACCCUCUCCAGGAGCAGACGAGGCUCUGGCUCCUGCUGCCUGCGGGAAGCCCUCCAGGCCCGGGGCUCUAAGGGGAAGCUGGGGAACGCUCCCCGCCACAGCCCACCGCCCUGGAGGAGAGGGGGGACACUCACAGGGGCUCACCCUCCACCCGGGGGUUGGUCUCUGACCUCCACAGAACACAGGGCUGCCGGAACCUUCCGGGCCUCUGCUACUCUCUGUACCCCAACGGCUGUGGAAGGAGCACAGCCGCCAGCAACCACUGAUUCCGGCCCUUCAACAGAUCAGCCGAGAGCUCACAGGAGGGACGAUGGGGGCCCCCUGGCUAGGAGGGAGAGGGCUGCCGUCCCCCCGUGCCCCCCGCUCACCCCACCACCAGUGAGAGCCGAGACGGAGACGUGACGCCAGAGGGAGGUGCCAGCCCAGGCCCUGCGGCCGUCCCAGAGGCUGCGGAGCGGGGAGCCCCCCAUGAGAGUCCGCCCAGCCGGGCCCCCGGCCCCCGCCCCGAGCACCGCCUUGCCCGCGCUCACCAGAUGUGCGCCAGGAGGCUCUGGGAGAGGCCGGAGUGCAUGAAGAUCUCCUUCACCUCCUGGCCGCUCACGUAGCCAUCCGCAUCCAAGUCGGUCUUCAGGAAAAUCUCAUCGAAGCGCAUCUUAUCAGUCACCGGCACCACCCAACUCACCGAGGGCUGGAAGAAGUUUCCACACAGUCAGCCCCGAGCUUUUCUCAACCAGCAAACGGCAGGACCGCUGAAGGACUUCCACGCGUGCUUCAGCACAGAGGCCUCUGCGAGAUCCUGGGCUGAGCAGACGGCACCUGCGGCCAUGUGCCUCCCGCCCACCCGCCGCCCGGCUCCCCUUCAGCUCAGGCGAGAGGCAGAGACCCACUCGGCCUCCCACCCGCCUGCGGGGAGCGCCUGGCGCCCGUUCUGGAAGCACUGUCCACUGAACACCGGCCAGGGCCAGCCGCGUGCAGCCCUCCCCUGCACUGGCACCCCCUGCCCACCCCCAGGACACUGGACACCACCCUUCUUUGUCCCUGGCUCAGCUGCCCUGCAAGGGAGACGCUGUGACCUUCAUCCCAGGGGCAACCUCCCUGAAAACAAGUCUCCGAGUCGAAACCCAAACUCAACCCAAGUGCCAUUUGUGGAGGAAAACGACCGUCUCACUCCAUGUUUCUGGACCGUGGCGUGGCCUGAGGCCAGCUUGCCUUCUCCCCACCACUGCCACGCACGCUGCCUGGCCCCAAGUUAUCUUCCAGGCUUGAAUUCCCGAGACACCUGCUCAACCACAGGAGUCUGAAGUAAGAGAAGAGUCCCCUCGGGGCAGACGCCACACGUGGCCCUUCCCCCAACGUGAGGGCCCCAUGGCUCCUGUUCCCCAAAUCUGAGAGAAAGCCUUGGAAGUCGCCUGUCCUCCAAGACACUUAGGAGACACAGAAAAUGCCACAAAUGGGCAAACUGGGCUGAAAACGGGCAGGGAGAGAAGGCAAACUCCGUCUAAAACAAGGACUAAAAUCUUAUUGCAGGUGGGAAGACGGCAGAGGAGGACGCUCCAGGAAGCAGUCCCACCGCCGAAACGAUGACUGAACAGGCAGGAGCAGUCUGAGUCAACCAUCUGGGAACUCUGGAGUCACGGGGGACACUGGGCAGCUCCCAGGGAAGAGCUGGAGGAAGGGGCUGGAGAACGGAGGUGACUGCGGUGAGCUGGCAGCGGGCACGGGACAGGCAGCAGCGGGGUCGGCAGCCGGGCUCCCAGGGCGACCCACUGGGGGGACCCGGGGCAGGGCAGGGGCUCCUCUCUGAUCACUGGAUCUGCUCGCUGGGGCCAGCUCCGAAGGCGGCUGCUGCCCCAACCUCCUCAGGAACGGCCGCAGAGGAGCCUUAAACACGGCGCACCUAGACACGCAGGUUUUUCUAUUUUACACUUUCUGUUACCUGCUUGGGAGAAAAACUCGCUGGGAAAACAUCCACACUGCUGGCCCCAGCCCUCAACAGCACAACAAAACACAAACAAAAAAUCCUAUUGUAGAGAGCAGGACGUUCGGCUUCCAAGCAGGGAUCUCCGUCUCGUGCACGACCGGAAGAGUGAAUUCAAAAUGGGUGAGGAUGAGAAGGGCAAGAAGAUUUCUGUUCAGGAGUGUGCCCAGUGCCACGCCGUGGGAACGGGAGGCAAGCACAAGACUGGGCCAAACCUGCACGGUCUGUUUGGGCAGAAGGCAGGUCGGGGCCCUGGGUUCUCUCACACGGACGCAACAAGAACAAAGCCAUCGCUUGGGAAGAGGAGACACUGAAGGAGUAUUUGGAAAAUCCCAAGAAGUACAUCCCAGGAACAAAAUGAUCAUUGCUGGCAUUAAGAAGACUGAUAGCUCAUCUCAGAAAAGCUACUAAUGAGUAAUAGUUGGUCACUGAGUUAUUUAUUACAAAAAAGAAAUGUCUUGUGACCUUUUUACAGGUACCAUACUUAAACUGAUCUCACACAGAAUUCAGAUCGUGAAUGGCAUAAUUUUUCUUGGACAGUCCUGAGGUAAAUAAACUCAGCUUCUAGUUAAAUGAAUAUGAUCAAGCUUUUCGAAUUUUGAUAGUAAUUCUGGUUUGGCAAGUGUUAUCACUAUGUUCCCCUUCUAAAGGUUUAACUGGACUUGAUGCUAGGUUGAAUUAGUGCUGUUCAACUUUUCACAAAGACAAAGGUGAAUGUCAACUCACAACCUAUAGGGGAUUGGUUUUAUAUUUAGAGUUAUAUAACUGGCUUUAUGAAUAUAUUUAAAUACUAAGGAAACCCCUUCAUUGUCUCAUAGAACAGAGCAAGACUCACUUGGUUUCAGCUGGUGUUCAUCAGCCUGUUUAAAAUAAGCUAGCUAUGUCCACUUUAUCUUUCUGGUCUUAAUUGUGUAAAUCUAAUUAAAAUUCCCUGUAUCUGAAAAGUUGCCUUUUAAUUCAAAAAAGGCAUUUUGGUGUGGUUUACGUAUAAUGCAAAAUAAAGAAUGCUGAACACUUCUCAUAUUUUAUAGAUGAUCUAUAAGGUUGGAUGCUUUUUAAAAGCCAGUGCGACAAGAUACAGUAGCAAGUUAAAUUUUGCUUUUAAAUUCUUUACUAUUCAAGUCAGACUAAGUUGUAAUUCAGGGCUGUCUUUAAACUGCUAUUCAAAACCACAUAAAAUCAUAGACCACUGAAUUAUGUGUGGUUGGUCAUGAUGUUUUUGCCAACUCAUAAGGCUUUAGGUGGAUGAGACGUUUGUAAAUGUUGUAAUCAUAAGGCUUACGAUGAUUAAAAAAACACACAGACCAUGAGAAAAAAAUCCUAUCAACCCCAGAGGAGUGGGGAAAGUCAAUCUCCAGAGUUACAACAACAUAAUACUCAGAAUAUCCAGUUCUCAAAAAUAACAAAAAAAUUACAAAACACACAAAGAAACAGGACACUAGGGCCCAUUCAUAGGAAAAAAAGAAUUUGCUAGAAACUAACCCAGAGGAAGUGUAUCAUACGUUGGAACUAUUUAUUGGUCCAAGACUUGAAGCCAACUGCUUUAAGUAUGUGCAGUGAGUGCAAGGAAUCCAUGCACGAAGAACUAAAAGAAAUUAGGAAAAUGUUGUCUGAACAAAGUAAAGACAGAAAUUAUAAAAAAAGAACCAGAACUGGAGCUGCAAAGUACAGUCACUGAAAUGAAAAACUCACAGCACAGACUCCAAAGCGGGCGCGAGCAGGCAGAAGGAAAACCCCGUGGACUCGAGAGUCAGGCAGCAGAAGCCAGAGCAGAAAGGAAAACUAACGGCGGAAAAGGAACCGAGCCUGGGGGCCUGGGGUCACCGCCAAGGGCACCCACAUACGAACCACUGUAGUCCCAGAAGGUCAGAGGGAAACAAAGGGGCAGAAAAAGCAUUUGGAGAAAUGAUGGCCAAAAACUUUCCAAAUCUGAUGAAAGACACGAACACACACAUCCAGGAAGUGUGACGAACUCCCAGCGAGCGGGACACACCCUAAGAGAUCCACGCCAGGGAAGCCCAGACCCGCAAAGAUGAGGAGAGGAUUCCGACGGCACCAGAAGGAAGCCACCUGUCCCACAUGAGGGAUCCCUGGUAAGAUCAGUAGCUAUUUCUCACCAGAAACCAUGGAGCCGGAAGACAGUGGGAUGGCACAAUUAAAGACUUACGGGAAAACUGUCAACCAAGAAUUCCAUAUCCAGGAAAAUUAACCUUCAAACAUGAAGGACAACGUGAUUGGGAAAGUGAUGUGGACCACACUCCCCUUUGUGCAGUGUAUGGAUGGUUAAGAAGAAAAACAGGGGCAAAAAGAAAAAAAAAAAACUAAAGGAAGAAUGGGGGGGACAA